CUUGCUUUCUUUGCCGGCGACCGGCGCACGGGUGAGUAACACGUAUCCAACCUGCCCUUUACUCGGGGAUAGCCUUUCGAAAGAAAGAUUAAUACCCGAUGGCAUAAUGAUUCCGCAUGGUUUCACUAUUAAAGGAUUCCGGUAAAGGAUGGGGAUGCGUUCCAUUAGGUUGUUGGUGAGGUAACGGCCCACCAAGCCUUCGAUGGAUAGGGGUUCUGAGAGGAAGGUCCCCCACAUUGGAACUGAGACACGGUCCAAACUCCUACGGGAGGCAGCAUG
rnacentral:rRNA from 1 species